UCUUACUGCUUCUCUGGAAUUCCUGUGUGAUCUUUUCUAAGUUUUAUACACCUUCUUUGAACCAAAUGAAGCUUUUGGUUGGGUUGGUUUGGUAUUGUUAAGAUAGAAGUAUUUUUUUUUUUUGGUUAACAUUGAUAACAUUCUUCUACAUGUUAAAAAAAAAAAAUCUGUCACUUCACAGAGUGACCACAAAGUGACGCUGUUCCAUUACAUAAAGCCAGGAAACCAUCACACCUGCAGCACUGUGACCUUCUGAGAGUGAGUGCGUUGGUUUAGCUGUGCUUCAGAAGAGCUGGAUCUGACAGACGCUCAGUUUGAUGUGAAAGUGUGUGUCUUUCCUGCUGGUUAUACAGGAUGAGGGUUGGUUUACUAAAACUGGGCCGAUGGGUUUCCGCACCUUGACCAAACUUGUGUGUGUAGUUUCACGACCUUUGCCCUCUUGACACCGCUCACCUUACAAACACAGUUAAUCUCGCUACUCGGAUCCAAGUUGCCAUCUGUGCAACAUCUCACACACACACACACACACACACACACACAGUUCAUCUCGAGGAAUAAUGGAUGACUAUAGACACGCACACACACGCACACACACACACUCUCUCACACACACACACACACACACACACACACACAGAGUUCAUCUCGAGGAAUAAUGGAUGACUAUAGACACGCACACACACGCACACACACACACUCUCUCACACACACACACACACACACACACACACACAGAGUUCAUCUCGAGGAAUAAUGGAUGACUAUAGACACGCACACACACGCACACACACACACUCUCUCACACACACACACACACACACACACACACACAGAGUUCAUCUCGAGGAAUAAUGGAUGACUAUAGACACGCACACACACGCACACACACACACUCUCUCACACACACACACACACACACACACACACACAGAGUUCAUCUCGAGGAAUAAUGGAUGACUAUAGACACGCACACACACGCACACACACACACUCUCUCACACACACACACACACACACACACACACACAGAGUUCAUCUCGAGGAAUAAUGGAUGACUAUAGACACGCACACACACGCACACACACACACUCUCUCACACACACACACACACACACACACACACACAGAGUUCAUCUCGAGGAAUAAUGGAUGACUAUAGACACGCACACACACGCACACACACACACUCUCUCACACACACACACACACACACACACACACACAGAGUUCAUCUCGAGGAAUAAUGGAUGACUAUAGACACGCACACACACGCACACACACACACUCUCUCACACACACACACACACACACACACACACACAGAGUUCAUCUCGAGGAAUAAUGGAUGACUAUAGACACGCACACACACGCACACACACACACUCUCUCACACACACACACACACACACACACACACACAGAGUUCAUCUCGAGGAAUAAUGGAUGACUAUAGACACGCACACACACGCACACACACACACUCUCUCACACACACACACACACACACACACACACACAGAGUUCAUCUCGAGGAAUAAUGGAUGACUAUAGACACGCACACACACGCACACACACACACUCUCUCACACACACACACACACACACACACACACACAGAGUUCAUCUCGAGGAAUAAUGGAUGACUAUAGACACGCACACACACGCACACACACACACUCUCUCACACACACACACACACACACACACACACACAGAGUUCAUCUCGAGGAAUAAUGGAUGACUAUAGACACGCACACACACGCACACACACACACUCUCUCACACACACACACACACACACACA